AUUGAACGCUGGCGGCAGGCCUAACACAUGCAAGUCGAACGGUAACAGGAAACAGCUUGCUGUUUCGCUGACGAGUGGCGGACGGGUGAGUAAUGUCUGGGAAACUGCCUGAUGGAGGGGGAUAACUACUGGAAACGGUAGCUAAUACCGCAUAACGUCGCAAGACCAAAGAGGCGGACCUUCGGGCCCGUUGCCAUCGGAUGUGCCCAGAUGGGAUUAGCUAGUAGGUGGGGUAACGGCUCACCUAGGCGACGAUCCCUAGCUGGUCUGAGAGGAUGACCAGCCACACUGGAACUGAGACACGGUCCAGACUCCUACGGGAGGCAGCAGUGGGGAAUAUUGCACAAUGGGCGCAAGCCUGAUGCAGCCAUGCCGCGUGUAUGAAGAAGGCCUUCGGGUUGUAAAGUACUUUCAGCGGGGAGGAAGGGAGUAAAGUUAAUACCUUUGCUCAUUGACGUUACCCGCAGAAGAAGCACCGGCUAACUCCGUGCCAGCCGCCGCCGUAA
rnacentral:rRNA from 1 species